CCUACGGGUGGCUGCAGUAAGGAAUAUUGCGCAAUGGGCGACAGCCUGACGCAGCGACGCCGCGUGGGGGAUGAAGGUCUUCGGAUUGUAAACCCCUUUCGGCAGGGAAGAUGGAACGGGUAACCGUUCGGACGGUACCUGCAGAAGCAGCCACGGCUAACUUCGUGCCAGCAGCCGCGGUAAUCCGAAGGUGGCAAGCGUUGUUUUACUUUACUGGGCGUACGGGGAGGCUGGGCGGUUGGGUAAGCGCGAAAUCUCCGGGCCUAACCCGGAAAGUGCGGAGGGGACUGCUCGGCUAGAGGAUGGGAGAGGAGCGCGGAAUUCCCGGUGUAGCGGUGAAAUGCGUAGAGAUCGGGAGGAAGGCCGGUGGCGAAGGCGGCGCUCUGGAACAUUUCUGACGCUGAGGCUCGAAAGCGUGGGGAGCAAACAGGAUUAGAUACCCCUGUAGUC
rnacentral:rRNA from 1 species